rnacentral:rRNA from 1 species
UAGAGUUUGAUCCUGGCUCAGAUUGAACGCUGGCGGCAGGCUUAACACAUGCAAGUCGAGCGGUAACAUUUCUAGCUUGCUAGAAGAUGACGAGCGGCGGACGGGUGAGUAAUGCUUGGGAAUAUGCCUUAUGGUGGGGGACAACAGUUGGAAACGACUGCUAAUACCGCAUAACGUCUACGGACCAAAGGGGGGGAUCUUCGGACCUCUCGCCAUUUGAUUAGCCCAAGUGAGAUUAGCUAGUUGGUAAGGUAAUGGCUUACCAAGGCGACGAUCUCUAGCUGGUUUGAGAGGAUGAUCAGCCACACUGGGACUGAGACACGGCCCAGACUCCUACGGGAGGCAGCAGUGGGGAAUAUUGCACAAUGGGCGAAAGCCUGAUGCAGCCAUGCCGCGUGUGUGAAGAAGGCCUUCGGGUUGUAAAGCACUUUCAGUUGUGAGGAAAGGGGUGUAGUUAAUAGCUGCGCUCUGUGACGUUAACAACAGAAGAAGCACCGGCUAACUUCGUGCCAGCAGCCGCGGUAAUACGAGGGGUGCAAGCGUUAAUCGGAAUUACUGGGCGUAAAGCGUUCGUAGGCGGUUUGUUAAGCAAGAUGUGAAAGCCCAGGGCUCAACCUUGGAACUGCAUUUUGAACUGGCAAACUAGAGUACUGUAAGGGGGGUAGAAUUUCA